UCCGUAGGCGGACUAAUAAGUCAGGGGUGAAAUCCCACAGCUCAACUGUGGAACUGCCUUUGAUACUGUUAGUCUUGAGUUAUAUGGAAGUAGAUAGAAUGUGUAGUGUAGCGGUGAAAUGCUUAGAGAUUAUACAGAAUACCGAUUGCGAAGGCAGUCUACUACGUAUAUACUGACGCUAAUGGACGAAAGCGUGGGGAGCGAACAGGAUUAGAUACCCUGGUAGUCC
rnacentral:rRNA from 1 species